rnacentral:rRNA from 1 species
CCGUUUGAUCCUGGCUCAGGACGAACGCUGGAGAAGCGCCUAAUACAUGCAAGUAGAACGCUGAAGAGAGGAGCUUGCUCUUCUUGGAUGAGUUGCGAACGGGUGAGUAACGCGUAGGUAACCUGCCUGGUAGCGGGGGAUAACUAUUGGAAACGAUAGCUAAUACCGCAUAAAAUGGAUUAUCGCAUGAUAAUUCAUUGAAAGGUGCAAAUGCAUCACUACCAGAUGGACCUGCGUUGUAUUAGCUAGUUGGUGGGGUAACGGCUCACCAAGGCGACGAUACAUAGCCGACCUGAGAGGGUGAUCGGCCACACUGGGACUGAGACACGGCCCAGACUCCUACGGGAGGCAGCAGUAGGGAAUCUUCGGCAAUGGACGGAAGUCUGACCGAGCGACGCCGCGUGAGUGAAGAAGGUUUUCGGAUCGUAAAGCUCUGUUGUAAGAUAAGAACGAGUGUGAAAGUGGAAAGUUCACACUGUGACGGUAUCUUACCAGAAAGGGACGGCUAACUACGUGCCAGCAGCCGCGGUAAUACGUAGGUCCCGAGCGUUGUCCGGAUUUAUUGGGCGUAAAGCGAGCGCAGGCGGUUAGAUAAGUCUGAAGUUAAAGGCUGUGGCUUAACCAUAGUACGCUUUGGAAACUGUUUAACUUGAGUGCAAGAGGGGAGAGUGGAAUUCCAUGUGUAGCCGGUGAAAU